GGCCACUCCUACGGGAGGCAGCAGUGAGGAAUAUUGGUCAAUGGUCGGGAGACUGAACCAGCCAAGCCGCGUGAGGGAGGAAGGUACAGAGUAUCGUAAACCUCUUUUGUCAGGGGACAAAGACUGGGACGCGUCCCCGGAUGAGCGUACCUGAAGAAAAAGCAUCGGCUAACUCCGUGCCAGCAGCCGCGGUAAUACGGAGGAUGCGAGCGUUAUCCGGAUUUAUUGGGUUUAAAGGGUGCGCAGGCGGUCUGUUAGCUCAGCGGACACCGCCGGGGCCCCCACCCCGGCCCGCCGUUGAAACUGGCAGUCUCGAGUUGGAGAGAAGUAUGCGGAAUGCGCGGUGUAGCGGUGAAAUGCAUAGAUAUCGCGCAGAACUCCGAUUGCGAAGGCAGCAUGCCGGCUCCACACUGACGCUGAGGCACGAAAGCGUGGGUAUCGAACAGGAUUAGAUACCCGGGUAC
rnacentral:rRNA from 1 species